ACCUAGAAAGUUUUUAUAUUUGAUUAAAAUUUGUACAUUAAAGCGAUCUUAACCUAACUUUAUAUGCACUUCAUGUACGAUUCUUUUUAACAUAUUUCAUUAGGGCGACGCUCAAAAAUACACUUUGUGGUUUGUUUAGUAACCGACGUUCACAAGUUUGCAAAGGUAUAUUAAAUGAGUAACCUGGCACUUACCUAAACCUUGCGAUAGUUACCGCAUCACUGAUCGUCAAUUAAUAUUUGUUCGUAGCAAGUUUUUGGACCUUACACAACAAAACAAAAUGAAAAGAAGCAGAAAAGAUUUGGUGUAGAAGAAUUCAUACAAUCACCAGCCACUCCUGUAGCAAUCGACGUAGAAGUUAACAAGAAGUUUGACAAAAUUUUGGAAAUGCUGCAUUCUGUCCAUUUAUAUGUACGUAGCAUUGAUGAAAUUUAAAAAAAUUACACUCGGUGACAACUGAAGAACGUAAUCAGCCUACAGCUGAAACAAAAUUUAUAAACGAUCUACUGCCAAUCCCUAAUAUUGAUGCUCUCAAACAAUUUGAAGUUUUAUUAGAGAAUGAAGGCCAUACUAAACAGUUUCACAUAAUUUUAAGUAACAUUGGUGGUAAAAAUGGAAAGGAUAAUAUUCACCGUCUUUUAAAGAAAGUUUAUUCAAACCAAAUGUCUACAAAGUGCUCUUGGUUAGGACAAAGAGGAAACUUUAAAAUUAGCACCACAAAAAGUAUGCAAAUUAUAAAAGGUGUCACAAUAAAUUCAUAUGUUGAUGUCAAGGAAAGCGAUUUCGAACGCAUUUCCAGCGAAUGGUUCCGGUUGGCAAAAUUACGAGCAGACCGAGAAAGAUAAAUACCUAUUUUGAUAUUCUUAUUACCUUUUUAUUUAACAGAUUAUUAAUUACCUGUACGAGUUGUGUUACGUUUGCUAUGUAUAUUUUACAUAAUAAAUUAGUUAAAAGAUA